rnacentral:rRNA from 1 species
GCUCAGGAUGAACGCUGGCGGCGUGCUUAACACAUGCAAGUCGAACGAUGAUCUUCACUUGUGGGGGGAUUAGUGGCGAACGGGUGAGUAACACGUGAGUAACCUGCCCUUGACUCUGGGAUAAGCCUGGGAAACCGGGUCUAAUACUGGAUACGACCUUCUGGCGCAUGCCAUGUUGGUGGAAAGCUUUGGUGGUUUUGGAUGGACUCGCGGCCUAUCAGCUUGUUGGUGGGGUAAUGGCCUACCAAGGCGACGACGGGUAGCCGGCCUGAGAGGGUGACCGGCCACACUGGGACUGAGACACGGCCCAGACUCCUACGGGAGGCAGCAGUGGGGAAUAUUGCACAAUGGGCGCAAGCCUGAUGCAGCGACGCCGCGUGGGGGAUGAAGGCCUUCGGGUUGUAAACCUCUUUCAGUAGGGAAGAAGCUGGCCUUUUGGGGUUGGUGACGGUAC